rnacentral:rRNA from 1 species
GAUAAACGCUGGCGGCGCACAUAAGACAUGCAAGUCGAACGGACUUAACCAUUAGUUUACUAUUGGAGCGGUUAGUGGCGGACUGGUGAGUAACACGUAAGCAACCUGCCUCAUACAGGGGGAUAACAGUUAGAAAUGACUGCUAAUACCGCAUAAGCGCACAGUAUCGCAUGAUACAGUGUGAAAAACUCCGGUGGUAUGAGAUGGACCCGCGUCUGAUUAGCUAGUUGGUAAGGUAACGGCUUACCAAGGCGACGAUCAGUAGCCGGACUGAGAGGUUGAACGGCCACAUUGGGACUGAGAUACGGCCCAGACUCCUACGGGAGGCAGCAGUCGGGAAUAUUGCGCAAUGGAGGAAACUCUGACGCAGUGACGCCGCGUAUAGGAAGAAGUUUUCGGAAUGUAAACUAUUGUCGUUAGGGAAGAGAAAGGACGGUACCUAAGGAGGAAGCCCCGGCUAACUAUGUG